CCUGACGAAACCUUCGGGUUCUGAGACUCCAACCGAAGGGAGGGGGAUGUUCAGAAUCGGGUGGGGCGGCCGUUGGAGCCCACUGAGCAUGCGCUCACGGCGGAGCGUCCCGAGGCGGAGGUAGUCUAAAACCCCCCUCCCCUCCCCAGUCCAUCCUUAUUAGCCCCUGUCAGAUUGGGAAGGAGACGCCGUGGAGAAGGAUUUGGCUUGCGAUCCUGCUCUGGGCGAGCUCCCACGGGGAAGGACGAGCCUCUUAGACGUCAGAACUCUCCGAAGGGGCCGACACGGGAUAUGUUCCUCGCGGAGCUGGCCCUCAAGCCUGGAGCACGGACCAUCGACGUCCGGUGGCCUUUUUGGUGGAAGGAAGGGGCAGAGCACAAGCUGCCGUUGCAGGAGAAUAUCUGGGAUCAAUAUGUAUACUUGAGAAAGACAGCCUGUGAACAUUGAAUUGGAAGUCUACUUCAUCAUCUCCCUGGGGUUGGAAAAUGCAUCACAUCCUUCAAAGAAAGAAACUCACCUUUCGAGGAGACUAGUAACAUGUCUCUGAAACUGGGCCCAAGUACUGCCUUCCAUUUCCUCAACUAGUCAACAUUUUUCUCCUCACCCCUAACAAUAUUCCUAAGUAAUAAUAAUAAAAAAAAAGCUGUUAUCUCCAUACUACCAGUGAGAUGGAUGACCACCACCAUUGACUGCUUGCUGUGGCUGUUUUAGCUGUGGCCUAAGUUGGGCACGGUGGAAGAUGGAUUGAGACAGAACUUACAUAACUGCAGUGCCAUGGAACAAUGUCGAGCCAGAAGAAUGGGACACAGACUGUUACUAUUGUGAGAGAACCUUUGGCUGGGACUGGACAGGAAUGGUAGUUCCUAUGAAAGUUGAGCUGCUGGUGAGAUCGUGCCAAGAAGACCGAUCCCAAACCUCAGUCCUUUUCUCCUGUUUCCUCUGGUUGGUUGUUCAUAGAGUUGAUAUCAGCAAGUUCCAGAAACAGUUCUUUCCUUUGUUCUUUGCCUUGUCUAUAAGUUGGAAGGAGGUUUCGGGGAAGACUCAAGGGAAGCAGUUUCUUUACAACUUUGCUAUGUGAUAGCUUCUUUACUGUGUUUUAAUAAACCAUGUGGCUGCUGAAAAGC
rnacentral:lncRNA from 1 species